rnacentral:lncRNA from 1 species
CCAGACUUCCAAAAGCAACAGGGUUCAAAUUAAAAUAACUCUUACUAUUUUCCCCAGGCAGUUAGUAAAGGGAAAAAGAAUAGAAAGACUGAAAAGGGAAUAUUUUUGUAGGAAGGAUGAAGAGAAAAGAAGAGCAUUAAUGUUAGAGGAGUUACUAAAAAUUGAAGUAACAAUGUUAGCUUGAUUAAACAGUUUUGUCCACUAAUGUCAGGGCGAAAUUUGAUGUCACAACCUGAUCACCAAAAAUACGAGAGGGCAAAUGUCAAGAAUUUUCCUGAUGUUUUCCUCAUGGCAUACUAUUCUAUUUUAGUCUUAUGCAUCAGCUAUCCAAGAUUUAAUACCUCAUGGAAUGUACUUGCUGGAAAGAAACAAAAAACUAUAUCUCACAACAUUGCACAUGAUGGAAACUUGCAUUCUUUGGGUUUAUUACUGGAUAUCACCCUGAGAACUGGAUCCCCACCCAGAUUGGCUCCUUGUAAAUGGAAAUAAAAUUUCUGGAAAUAAAAUCGCAUGUGAUCACGACCCCAAAGGAUGCUGUGGGAACUCAGAUGGGAGGUGAUUGUUGCUGAAGCUUGGAAUAGUCAGUAAAACCUUAAGAAAAAAAAGUGGGAGAGUAGGAUGCGAUGGCUGUGCAUUUUGCCCUGAGGAAAAUUCUCUAAGAUUCCAUUUUAUGUUUUUACAUGCCUUCUUAAGUCCUUUUUGACAUAAGGCCAUGUACAACUAUGUAAACCAAUUAAAUGGAGUCAGAAUUGGCAUGGAUGAUGUUGAGGCACAUACGCUUAUCUUUGUGAAUCUCAUGAUUUAUAUUAAAUAACUGGUCUAUAAAUCAACGGUGAGAAAUCUUGAUGUAGCUUGCCAAUCCAGAAAACCUCAUGCCAGAAACUCAGACUAAAUCACAUUUGAGUUCUACAUUUUUCAGAAGUGUUUCUAAUGUCAUUCUAUCUCAGAAGAUUUCCAAAGAAAUGAAGAGAGAUUGCGGUUGAUGGAAAGUGAGGAGGACAGUUACAAAUACAUUGUAAUACAGAAACAAAUCUGACCAUAAGGAGCUAAAUCUACUGAAGCUGCAUUUUCAAAAGGGUCCUUCGAGACCACAUUUAACUGCAUUUUCUGGUGAAAUUAAAUCAUAGGUUUAAACUUAAAUAAAUAUAUAUAAUUGCUAUUAUUAUAAUGCUGGGAAAAAACUGUAGAUUUGUAUAAAAGAAGGGAAAAGAUCAAAUAACAAAGUUUCUGCUAAGGAAAGCUAAAGCCUAGAGGCAAGUUUUCAAUUUAAUUUUUUGUGUUUUGUCCAUUUAUUGAUUUUCUUCCCAUAUAUCCCUCUAAGAAUCAACUGUAUGUUAAAACCAAAAUCUCAGCACUCAUUGAAUUACAGAAACGUUCUUGAAUUACAUGUAAUAUUCUUUCAUGUUUUCUGCCUCUAGGGGGAAGUGUGUUUUCAACAAUUCUGUUCCCAUAAGAUACUUUCUUUGUGGGCUACAGGCUUCAUCGCAUUAUUCUUCAAUAUGACUUCAGGGCUGGCUUAACAGGGAGAGGAGAGUCCUUUUGAAAGCCACUUACUUUAGAAAUUGCAGCCAGGCUUCUGAGGGAGAUGGUACAGCCUGCGACAACUGGUGGAGAACACUUUGUUCUGAUGGCAUGUAUGUUUCAAACAAUGGCUGGCUGAAGUUCCCUAUAGAAUGCUGUUGUCCCUGUUGGCAGAGUAAUGCCAUAGAGACACGAUUUCAUUUCACAGAUGGAAAACAAACAGCUGAAUACUUCAUAGAAAACUUGCCACUUGAUUUUAGCAAUAAAGUUAAAAAACAUGAUUUAUAGAUAUUGAUGAAAAGAGAUCUAAAUCUUAUUAAAAGUGUGUUGGUCUCUAUAAUAUCACAUUUAGGGCUAACAUUGCUUUUCAUUUGGCUAAUUUUAUUUUGCAGCAUUUCCCUGUGACUUUCCUUUGUUUUCGUUCAGAAUUGUAGUCAGAAAGAAUGCAUUCAGUGACAAGGUUAGUAAUCCUUCGAAUGUUAGAAAAAGUGCUUCUCCCUCCCUCUCCUGCCUCCCAUUUCAG